rnacentral:rRNA from 1 species
GACAGAGGGUGCUAGCGUUGUUCGGAAUUACUGGGCGUAAAGGGCGCGUAGGCGGCCCGUUUAGUCGGGUGUGAAAUCUCGGAGCUUAACUCCGAAACUGCAUUCGAUACUGCCGUGCUUGAGGACUGGAGAGGAGACUGGAAUUUACGGUGUAGCGGUGAAAUGCGUAGAUAUCGUAAGGAAGACCAGUGGCGAAGGCGGGUCUCUGGACAGUUCCUGACGCUGAGGCACGAAGGCCAGGGGAGCAAACGGG